rnacentral:rRNA from 1 species
GGGCUUUACCGCAGGCUACCAUGCAAGUCGAGCGGUAGCACAGGGGAGCUUGCUCCCUGGGUGACGAGCGGCGGACGGGUGAGUAAUGUCUGGGAAACUGCCUGAUGGAGGGGGAUAACUACUGGAAACGGUAGCUAAUACCGCAUAACGUCGCAAGACCAAAGAGGGGGACCUUCGGGCCUCUUGCCAUCAGAUGUGCCCAGAUGGGAUUAGCUAGUAGGUGGGGUAAUGGCUCACCUAGGCGACGAUCCCUAGCUGGUCUGAGAGGAUGACCAGCCACACUGGAACUGAGACACGGUCCAGACUCCUACGGGAGGCAGCAGUGGGGAAUAUUGCACAAUGGGCGCAAGCCUGAUGCAGCCAUGCCGCGUGUGUGAAGAAGGCCUUCGGGUUGUAAAGCACUUUCAGCGAGGAGGAAGGUGGUGAACUUAAUACGUUCAUCAAUUGACGUUACUCGCAGAAGAAGCACCGGCUAACUCCGUGCCAGCAGCCGCGGUAAUACGGAGGGUGCAAGCGUUAAUCGGAAUUACUGGGCGUAAAGCGCACGCAGGCGGUUUGUUAAGUCAGAUGUGAAAUCCCCGGGCUCAACCUGGGAACUGCAUUUGAAACUGGCAAGCUAGAGUCUCGUAGAGGGGGGUAGAAUUCCAGGUGUAGCGGUGAAAUGCGUAGAGAUCUGGAGGAAUACCGGUGGCGAAUGCGGCCCCCUGGACAAAGACUGACGCUUAUGUGCGAAAAGCUUGGGGAGCAAACAAGG